UACGAAGGGGGCUAGCGUUGCUCGGAAUCACUGGGCGUAAAGCGCACGUAGGCGGAUUGUUAAGUCAGGGGUGAAAUCCUGGAGCUCAACUCCAGAACUGCCUUUGAUACUGGGAAGCUUGAGUCCGGAAGAGGUGAGUGGAACUCCGAGUGGUAGAGGUGAAAUUCGUAGAUAUUCGGAAGAACACCAGUGGCGAAGGCGGCUCACUGGUCCGGUACUGACGCUGAGGUGCGAAAGCGUGGGGAGCAAACAGG
rnacentral:rRNA from 1 species